AGUUAGAUCUUGGAACUGAGUCCAGCAGCACUGAGGUCAGAGAGAUGGCUAAAGCUAAAAGCAAACUGGAUGCUGUUCAGGAGGUUCUCCUUUGUCAUUUUUAUCUCCAAAUAGAAGACCUCUGUUUUCCCAGAAGAUUAAAUAGUAGAAAAGAAGUAGCCCAAGGUGGGUGACUCUGCAAACAGGUGGGUGAGGUCUCUAGUUGAGUGAGGGGGUGUCUGUGGGUUGUGGGUUCUUCUUAUGAGCAGAGCUUGGAGGAAUUUGUUCUAUUUGUUGUGGUUUUCCCAGGGGGAAGUCGGGGGUGGCUGGGACUCUAAUGAUCAUUAUCAGAAGACUUUGGAUUAGGCCUCUGAAACUUUAAGAUGUGGAUCCUCUCGCAAUCAUGUUAAAAUGCAGAUCUCCUUUCAAUAGGUCUGGGACAGAGCCUGGCUUUUCUAUAAAGCUUCUGGUGAUGGGAUGUCGCUGGUUCUCAGCCACAAUUUGAGUAGCAAGAGGACAUACCAUGCCUUUUACAGAUAUUUAUAGGACAAUUUCCCUCCUGAGAGUGCCCAAGCAUGGGGGAUGGUGAGGAAGAUGACUGAAGGAGAAAGCAGGAAAAGGGGGUGUCUGCAUGUAUGAGGAUUGGAAGCCCUGGACAACUUUCAGGAAGACAGUUCUGGUCUGUAGCAAUUAACACAUGGUCAUCCUCAGAAAAAGGUCCUCUCAAUUAUUUCCCAGAGAUACCCAUAACUUAAAAUGCAGGAACCAAGAGAUUUGAGCCUAGACAUUUGGAUGAAAAGCGAUUUCCACCUGGAGAAAGUCACUGCCCUUCUGUGCAGAGUACCAUUGUGUCUUGAAUCCAGCUUGGCCAUAAGGAAAUGGGGCGAGACUUUGUCAUGUAUGUCGCUGAAGUUCAGCUAUGCAAAAAUGUUCACCUAUCCUUGAUCAACCAGUCCAGGAACCAUCAAAGAAGAAAAUGAGAUUCGACUUAGAAGACCUGUUCUUUAUAAACCCCUGCACAGCCCUAAUGAUCAACACCACUUCCAGUGCUCAUAAAUUACUGCUUCAAUAAUUGUUCUGCAAUUCUGCCUAUUCUCAUUGAAUGCUUCGUAUAAUCCCUUUAUUUACUUUGGGCUACGAUUCAUUUUUAUCAGUGAGUAUUGUACUUGUUUCAUCU
rnacentral:lncRNA from 10 species